rnacentral:rRNA from 1 species
AGUGAACGCUGGCGGCAGGCCUAAUACAUGCAAGUCGAACGGCAGCACAGCAGAGCUUGCUCCGUGGUGGCGAGUGGCGGACGGGUGAGGAAUACGUGGGAAUCUGCCCAGUCGUGGGGGAUAACGUAGGGAAACUUACGCUAAUACCGCAUGCGCCCUUCGGGGAAAGCCGGGGACCUUCGGGCCUGGCGCGAUUGGAUGAGCCCACGUCGGAUUAGCUAGUUGGCGGGUAAAGGCCCACCAAGGCGACGAUCCGUAGCUGGUCUGAGAGGAUGAUCAGCCACACUGGAACUGAGACACGGGUCCAGACUCCUACGGGAGGCAGCAGUAGGGAAUAUUGGACAAUGGGCGCAAAGCCUGAUCCAGCCAUGCCGCGUGAGUGAAGAAGGCCCUCGGGUUGUAAAGCUCUUUUGUCCGGAAAGAAAGCGCCGGGUUAAUACCCUGGUGUCCUGACGGUACCGGAAGAAUAAGCACCGGCUAACUUCGUGCCAGCAGCCGCGGU